AACUAGAGCCAACUAGAACCAGCGUGGUUGCCUUUGUGACCCCAGAUUUAAAAUCAGGAUUAUCACCAAACUUAAGAACAUACAGAGGGAUCAAAUGUGUUUCAAGUCGGGGAAGAAGGAGGCUGACUACUCCCUAUCCACUCGAGGUUUCUUACAUAAUUGCUUUCAUAGCCAAACAUAUAAAACACCCCGUAAGGACCUCAUGCCCAGCACGCCAUCGGCCACCGGCAGCUCUGUCCCUGGGCCCUGGGCAGGCAGCAUGGAGGGGAAAAUGGUCCCAGCAGCCCUUCUCCCGGGCCACAAAGGAGGAGCCCUCCAGCCUGUGGCCAGGCUGCUCAGGAGUCCAUGGAUCAGAGCCGGUGGCUGGAGGGAGCUGUGGAAGUGUCGCCGUGGUAACGGUGGGUGUUUGGAAACCUCCAGAUCUGGCACCCGUGAUGGACUCCUCGGGGCCAGCUCUGCUUUCUUGAGCAACCUGGAACCCGUCAUCCCCUCCGCCUGCACUGAGUCAUCCAACUCGGACCGCACCCUCCUGCACCCGGCCCAGAUCCCCGCUGGAGUGACAGCUGCCUCCUUGCUGCUCCCAUCCCUGUCUGCCUGCAUUUCCCUUGGGAUGCUUAACUCGUCCUGCGUUCUCGUCCGUUUCCUGUGCUCAUCCAUCUCCCCACAAAAAACACAGUCUGUAUCUGUGGUUCACUUAGGAAUCCGGCCAGGUAGUGGGCAGGUGCAGCGGGCCCUGGAGAGCCUUAGACAACAGAGAAGGGCCUCGUCCUCACACACACUGGGUGCUCAACACUGUGCACCGGACUGUCUGCAGCUGGACUGCAGACGGCAGACGUGCCAGCUCUUGGCCCCUUUGGCCUCAAUCGUACCAACAACCCAGGCUCAGGGAAGGAAGGAAAACCCAGGCUCAGGGAAGGAAGGAAACGCCAGCAGAGUGUGCCUCCCUCUGGGAAAAACACGGGAGAGCCUUCUGCAGUGAUUGAGGCAGUGAGAUGCUGAGCGCUCCACACAAGUGGGCUCUACCCAGUCAGCUCAGCAAUCGGAAAAUACCAAAUGGAAUGUCAGUUCCUAACGCGGAAAUGUCAGGAACACAGCCAGUCGGGGGCUCUCCAACAACACGUCGUAGCCUCACUUUCAGUGGUGUCCUGUAUGUGUUCGGCACGGAGCCCCGCGGGGCUGAGGCCCCUCCAUUUGAGGCCAGCGAUCUUGGGGUGUCCGGUCACGCCUCGGUCACCUCUGACCUUGGCACUGACAUCCUCACCAGAGUCAGAAGCAGCCCGUCACCAAGAGAGGCCGGCAGGGUGCGCUGCACUCGGACGCCCAAGACUCUCUGGCACCGGAGCCCAGGCUGUAAGAGUCUCCAACCAGAUAACGAGGUGCCACUGGGUGGAUGCACUGUCCCUGGGACCGUCUGUCUGACUAGAGCUGCGUGUGAGCCAGGAACACUGCACGGCACAGUGAAGUGACGCGGGGUGUCUGGGGGAAGAGUUGUCGCGUGGUCCUGACUGGCUGUGAGACCUGGGCUGUCUCACUUUGGGGAGCCUCGUUUCCUCCUCUAUAGACAUGUUCAUUCAUUCAUUCCCAGAUACUUCACAAGAGCAAACACGGCCCAGGUGGUGGGGAUGCCGUGAAGGGAAUAGACUGUAAGACGACUGAAUAAACAAGGAGCCUGAGGCAGGGUGGGGGCUGUUGGGAGGGGCGCAGGGCGGGGCUCUCCCCUCAGUGAGGUCAUGGAAGGUUUCCCAAGGGGAACUGUAGUUCAGCUGAGACUCACGUGAAAGAAGCCAGGAGGUUCGGGUGGGAUUGGGGAGCACUGGGGUUCCAGAUAAAGAAGCUUGUGGGGGGCCCCAAACAAGAGAGGACCACAGAGAGGACCCAGGGAGCCUGAGAAACGGAAGGCCUGUGGCCUGUGGCCUGCAGAGGGGCCAGGCCCCGUGUGCUCGGUCUCCUGGGAGAGCAGCCCACUGGGACACCGGAGGCUCGGGUCCCGCCUGCCGCGGGCAGCGCUGCUGUUGUAAACUGACGUGGAACCCUCUGCUCCUUAGCUUUUCCAGCUGAGAAACCCCUCCCCUGCCCGCAGGACGUGGGCCCGGCGAAGGAGUGUUUGCAGAGCCUUCGAAAAACUAAGAUGAGUUACAAGUGCAGGUCCCUGACGGCACCUUCCCCACUCACAGAUGAACCAGGCAAGCCCACCGGUGUCAGCCGGAGCCUGGGGAAGCCAUUACUUGGGAGUUUUUAAUCCCCCUCCCCCUAUCCCAGGGGAGCAGGAGAUAAAUAGCAGUUUCUUUCUGAUUGCUUUGGUGAUAUUUCAUUUCAGUUCCUAAUCAGAUUUUGCCUGAGGGAGAAAGUAGGCUAUUAAUAAAAGGUUUUUUUAAUUGUAAUAUUUGUGAUUAACCCUGCACAGUCCCCAGCUCUGGCCAAGGCGUUCUGUGGUUGACCAGAGAGAUCAGGUCUGACACACUGACCCUACUAUGUCCCCUGCUCCCCAACUUCCGGGGCCUCCCUGGGGCCCAUCCCAGCAAACCUGUGUGUGGCCUUCACAGUCUGUAUCUCACCAGCCUUGCCUGAACCACUCACCGCCCCCCCCCGCACCCCCCCGCAUCUUCCUCGGAGGGUUUCUGCCCUGACACCCAGUCCCACACUCUGCUCUUGGCAGCCCUUCCUAUCCAUUGCACCCCAACUUCCUCUCUCCCUCCGAGUGUCCAGCCCUCCAGGUGAUGACGUUCGCACAGGGUCCAGCACAACCUCCAUCUCCUCCACGCCCCUCCCCCCAGAACCCAAGCCAACACUGACCCUUCUCCUUUCUCACGGUGCAUGCACUUUGGAUUUUCUGAUAUUCACUUUAGCCUCUAAUUGCUGUUAUUAUUUUUGGAAAUGGAAAGGGCAUUUUCAGUUUGUAAAGGACUCUAUGAUGCUAUCAUCCGGCUCUCACAACAGCACUGGGUGGUGAUGGAGUCGGUGGGCUUAUCGUCUUCCCAUCUUAGAGAUGAGGAAGCUGGGGCCCGGGGGCUCCUGGACUUGCCCGGCACCGGGCAGGAGAGCGCUGAGCUUCACUAAGAAACACUCCUUGGAAGGAACCAGCUCCCACACCUCCUGGUCCUCCCUCUGCACCACAUCGGUCAUGUAGUAGAUUCGUAACUAGCACUUCUUGUCUUAAAAUAAAAACCCAUGUGCAACUUCAGGAAAAGUAACUCAAAUGGCAACAUUUUAUCGAUGCAAAUAAUUGUGAUUUGUACUAUUAGCUUCUCAGAUACAAAGAAUAUGCCUGCAGCAUUAUUUUUAUGUGUGUAGAGGGAGACUCGCACCCACUCCAUACAAACCUCCCCACCGCGGAGUCAUCGGGGUCAUCAGGGUUAACCACAAACAGCGCCGGGCCCCACGCCUCAGGGCAGGGGAUGGAAUGUGCUUCUCAGAACUGGCUCAGCAGGGGGACAUGCUCCGUGCUUGGCCAGCCCUAGGGUUCGCCCUGGGGAACCCCCGUCACCUGGUCACCUGGUGCCUGGAGGGUCUAGGUUGCCCAGCGCCACUACACAGCCAGGUGAAAGCCGCCAGGCGGGGUGGGGUGCCCAUCCAUCUGUCCAUCUGGACUCACAUGGGAGCUAGUUUCCCAAGAUCUUCAGGCCGCUUUGCCACCUGCAGAACUGCGUGUGUUUUGCCACGCCCCUGAUUCCUGUCUGGAAUCACCCAUGAUGACUCCAAACGCAGCCCAGUUCCUACCGGCCGAGCACACACUCGCAGGCACGUCCGCUUUCACAGCGUCCACGGCUGGUUUGCUCUGAAGCUGGUGCAUGUGAUCAGACCUUAAGCCACAGCCCUGCCCGUGCCCUUCCAUCCAGGCUACACUGCGGUCACUUUCUCGGCUAUCUGUCCUGACUUUUUCCCCAUUUGGGGAUGGAGAAACCGAGGCCCAAGGCAACUGAAGGCCUUUGCCAAGGACACAUGCAGCUCACAGUUUUCAAGUAUUCCAGCCUACCAACCUCUCCCCGGCCACCACCGAGAAGAAUGAAGCAGCCAUUCGGUUAUUGCUGCAAAGUUUGCAGAACUCCGAGUUCCCUUCUGCAAUAUUAAAGGGAAUUAUGCAACUUCAAA